rnacentral:piRNA from 1 species
UAGGAAUUCAAUGGAGCUUUAGGAGUGA